rnacentral:rRNA from 2 species
UCGGAAGCCAAGCAGGGUCGGGCCUGGUUAGUACUUGGACGGGAGACCGCCUGGGAAUACCAGGUGCUGUAAGCUU